UACGGAGGGUGCAAACGUUGCUCGGAAUCAUUGGGCGUAAAGCGCACGUAGGCGGCUUGUUAAGUCGGAUGUGAAAGCCCUCGGCUCAACCGAGGAAGUGCAUACGAAACUGGCGAGCUUGAAUAUGGAAGAGGGUCGCGGAAUUCCCGGUGUAGAGGUGAAAUUCGUAGAUAUCAGGAGGAACACCGAUGGCGAAGGCAGAUCUCUGGGCCGUAACUGACGCUGAGGAGCGAAAGCAUGGGGAGCGAACAGG
rnacentral:rRNA from 1 species